ACUCCUACGGGAGGCAGCAGUAAGGAAUAUUGGUCAAUGGAGGGAACUCUGAACCAGCCAUGCCGCGUGAAGGAUGAAGGUCCUCUGGAUUGUAAACUUCUUUUAUAGGGGGCGAAAAAAGGGUUUUUUAACUCGUCUGACGGUACCCUAUGAAUAAGCACCGGCUAACUCCGUGCCAGCAGCCGCGGUAAU
rnacentral:rRNA from 1 species